rnacentral:rRNA from 1 species
AUUGAACGCUGGCGGCAUGCCUUACACAUGCAAGUCGAACGGCAGCACGGGAGCAAUCCUGGUGGCGAGUGGCGAACGGGUGAGUAAUAUAUCGGAACGUGCCCAGUCGUGGGGGAUAACGUAGCGAAAGCUACGCUAAUACCGCAUACGAUCUGUGGAUGAAAGCGGGGGAUCGCAAGACCUCGGGCGCGUGGAGCGGCCGAUAUCAGAUUAGGUAGUUGGUGAGGUAAAGGCUCACCAAGCCGACGAUCUGUAGCUGGUCUGAGAGGACGACCAGCCACACUGGGACUGAGACACGGCCCAGACUCCUACGGGAGGCAGCAGUGGGGAAUUUUGGACAAUGGGCGCAAGCCUGAUCCAGCAAUGCCGCGUGCAGGAUGAAGGCCUUCGGGUUGUAAACUGCUUUUGUACGGAGCGAAAAGGCUUCCACUAAUACUGGGGGCUCAUGACGGUACCGUAAGAAUAAGCACCGGCUAACUACGUGCCAGCAGCCGCAGUAACAC